rnacentral:lncRNA from 1 species
CCCGGCAGGCCCAGGAGUGCCUCUGGGAGCUGCAGGUGAGGUGUGGGGGCUGGCAGCUCCCAGGGGAAAUCAGUGACUAUCACCUUGAGGAAUGAGGAGCCUGAGGCUAUGGCCAAAACCACAAUCAGGGAAGAAGUGUCAUUUGAGAUUUGAGAAAAUGUCACAAGGCUUGGCAACUAGGUGUUAUUCAGGGUCUCAGGACCUGGGUGUGGCUGUACCAGACUCAAAGGACUUCUUCAGUACAUCCCAUCACUCCCCACAGGAGAUCACCUGGAGGGUGCUGGCCUCUGCACUCCCUGUGUCUUCCUGAAAGCCCCUGGCCAGCCAGGAGAGAGCUGCCCAGGAGCGGAGGUGCAGACUAGGUAGGCGAGCCUUCCUCGGCACUGCCCAGGUGCUGUGCUCAGGGACACCCCCUGGGAGGUGUCUGGGAAGUGGCCAGGCCUCUGAGGGUCCCAGGUGUCUCUUCUGUCUCCUGCAUUAUAAACAACGAGGUUUUUCACAUCUCUUCCUGCCCGUCAUGUAUCGUCAACAGGGGGCUCCAGGAGGGGGACCAGGGCUGAGUGGCCCCCCCCAGGGACCUACAGCAAGGCAGCUCGUGGAAGCAUCACCCCACUCCAUACAGACCUCCUGCCCACGCUGCCUCUCUUGCCAACAGAAGCCUAGUCUCAACCAGGCUACAGCAUGGCUGGCCAUAAUGGACCCUCAAUGAUCCCAGCAGCCCCCGCAUCUUUGCUCUGACCCUCCAGCCCUGGCCAGUGGCCCACAGGUAGCCUCCGGGUGCCACGACUAGCAUGGCCAAACUAGCAGGUUCCUGCGAGGGGCAAUGGGAGGUUAGAGAAAUAGAGACAGGUUGUGAAGACAACAUCUGGGAUUGGUGGAGUGCUGCUUUGGUGGAGAAGCAGGUCUCCGGAAUCACACCAGCAAUCUUUAUAUAUAUAUAUGUCUCUAAAUCAGAUUGAAGACUAUGCAAGCAUUAUUCUUUCAUGAAAGUUAGAGUCAGCAACAGGAUGCGACUGUUUCCCCAGUUACGUUCUGCAGUUGCAAUGUGCAGUGUUAGGAGCUUUGUGCAGCUCUCGAGAGUCCAAGAGCAGCAGAGCUGGGGAGACGCUGUGGUGGUCUAACAGGGAUUUCCCUCCUUCCCAGGAGCUGUGGGCCUGAGAGCAAGGUCGAGGCCGACAAGACUCCAGCACAGAGCCCCCUCGUGGAGGGCUUUACCAUAGCAACUUGCAUCUGUGCACAGAAACUUUCCCAGGCACCACGCAUGCCACAGCCAUGAAGUCAUCAAGAACCCCAAUCUCAGACACUUGGUCUCCCAUUCACUGUCACUGCUCCCCACAUCUGGGAAAACGCGUUCUUACACAUCCUUCCGUUCCUGCAUGGUCAGCCUGUUGGGGCCCACUUGGAUUCUGCAUCAGAUCUUAAAGUCAGGAUGUUGGCCUCACUUGUGGCUUUUACCAUGUCCCUCACUGAGAGCCAGCACGCUCCUCUUCCGUAACUUGAGAAGACAGGGCGAACUUGGAACACCCCCUCCAGGCCUCUGAUGCCUGGAACAGGUCAACAGCUUCCUCUGGGUUCCUGUCACCUGCAGCUGAAUGCACUUCCCACAGCACAGGGACUUCUCCUGAGGAUUCCAGGGCUCUCGUGGGACCUCCUGUCGCAGCUACUCCUGCCUAGCGCCUGGGCACGUCAUCGACCCCCUUCAUGCGCUUCGAAGAAAGGUUCAGCCCCCUGCUCUGGGCUUUGCCCCCCACCCUCCCGGCCACACUCAUCUGUGUCUGCCGCUGCUCAGUCUGUGGUGAUUGGUCACAUGGCAGUAGGACACGGUCACACCCAGAAGAGCCUCAGGUGCUGUGAGAGUUGUGGUGCCACAGUCACUGUCACAGCUUUCAAGGCCACCUGCCACCCCAGGAGGCUGAGGGGUGGGGGGAUGCCAGCUGUCACAGAGCCUGAAAGCUGCUCGUGGUUCCCCCGGGGCCCUUCAGCUGCCCUGUGGUGUGUCCAUGUCCUGCUGUGACAGAUCAGGACGGACUGAGCAGCCGCAGCAAACAUGCCUGCUCCAGAGCCCUGCAGACUGCUGGCGGAGUCGCUUGGGGCUGUGGUCCCCUCUGGCAGGUCCCUGAGGUGCAGGACCAACCCUCGGCCCCUGCAGGCGCCUGAUGUUCCUGGCAUGGGGUCCUCUCCCAGUGCGGCAGUUGGCUAGGAAGAGAGCGCCUGCCACUGCCGUCUCUGCCUCUAGACUGCCUUUACUGUGAGGAAGUCCACCUGGUUUUACAAUCAACCAUCUCAGCCAUUUUCAGGGGUACAGCAACAUUAAGCAAGCACAGGCUGGUGUGUGACCGUCACCACCAUCGACCUCCAGACCCCCCAUCCUGAGAAAGGACCCCUGCAGCACUGAAUACCAGUUCCCGUGCCCCUCCCCCAGCCCUGGGCACCCAGCCUUUUGCUCUCUGUCUCUGUGACCUCAGUCUCUGCAGGACCUCACCUCAGUGGAAUCUCAGGGGUUUCCCUUCUGUGACUGGCAUAUAGACCCUUCCUUAAAGAGCUCACCUAUCUGGGCCUAGUGACCGUGCCCACCAUGACUCCCUCCUGAUCAACUUAGAGUCAACUUAGGUCAUAAUUACAUCUGCAAAAUCCUCUACCUUGACAUGAAUGUAACCUAAGAACAGGGUGACAGCCCAUCAUUCUCACAGGUCCACUUACACUCGAGGGGAGGGGCUCCACGGGGAGGAACACUGCCUGCCAUGCAGGCCUCUGUGUGAGCAAGCUUUCUGUGCCUGUAACACAACACCUGAGAGAAUCUGCUUAUCAAAGGAAAAGGUUUGUCUCAGCUCACAGUUUCCGAGGUCCUCUUCGGUAUCAGUCGGCCCAUGACUUUGGGCCUGUGGGGAGAUAGCCCAUGUG